rnacentral:rRNA from 1 species
AUUGAACGCUAGCGGCAUGCCUAACACAUGCAAGUCGAACGAGCGGCGGACGGGUGAGUAAUGUAUGGGAACCUGCCCGGUAGCGGGGGAUAACUACUGGAAACGGGGCUAAUACCGCAUACUAUUGGAGCGACCGAUAUGGGAUUAGCUAGUUGGUGGGGUAAAGGCUCACCAAGGCGACGAUCCCUAGCUGGUCUGAGAGGAUGACCAGCCACACUGGGACUGAGACACGGCCCAGACUCCUACGGGAGGCAGCAGUGGGGAAUUUUGGACAAUGGGGGAAAGCCUGAUGCAGCCAUGCCGCGUGUAUGAUGAAGGCCUUAGGGUUGUAAAGUACUUUUGGCAGAGAAGCGGUAUCUGCAGAAUAAGCACCGGCUAACUACGUGCCAGCAGCCGCGGUAAUAC